ACACAUUAGAUUCAAGAAUUAACAUAGAAUGUACUUUUGUGUAAUCUAAUAUAUGAUGGCAAGAAUCGUACUGCACAGAAUCACCUAAGAAGAGGUCAAGAGGCGGACAAGUGAGGAAGACUAUGGAAGACCACCAGAGGGCUUCUGAAGA